UACGUAGGGCGCAAGCGUUGUCCGGAUUUAUUGGGCGUAAAGAGCUCGUAGGCGGUCUGUCGCGUCGGCUGUGAAAACCCGGAGCUCAACUCCGGGCCUGCAGUCGAUACGGGCGGACUAGAGUUCGGCAGGGGAGACUGGAAUUCCUGGUGUAGCGGUGAAAUGCGCAGAUAUCAGGAGGAACACCGGUGGCGAAGGCGGGUCUCUGGGCCGAUACUGACGCUGAGGAGCGAAAGCGUGGGGAGCGAACAGG
rnacentral:rRNA from 1 species